GAUGAACGCUAGCGGCAGGCCUAAUACAUGCAAGUCGAACGGUGUCUUCGGACAUAGUGGCGCACGGGUGCGUAACACGUAUGCAACCUACCUUACAUUGGGGGAUAGCCUUUCGAAAGGGAGAUUAAUACCGCAUAAGACAGUAGCUGGGCAUCCAGCAGCUGUUAAAGAUUUAUCGAUGUAAGCUGGGCAUGCGUCCAAUUAGCUAGUUGGUGAGGUAACGGCUCACCAAGGCAAUGAUUGGUAGGGGAACUGAGAGGUCAAUCCCCCACACUGGCACUGAGAGACGGGCCAGACUCCUACGUGAUGCAGCAGUAGGGAAUAUUGGGCAAUGGACGAAAGUCUUACCCAGCCAUGCCGCGUGCAGGAUGAAGGCGUUAUGCGUUGUAAACUGCUUUUAUACAGGAAGAAACGACUCUUGCGAGAGGCAUUGACGGUACUGUAUGAAUAAGCACCGGCUAACUCCGUGCCAGCCGCCGCCGUAACAC
rnacentral:rRNA from 1 species